rnacentral:lncRNA from 1 species
UCGGUUUGUGUAAUUUGGUAUCUGUUUUUUGGAAAUGAAGUUAAACCAAUAUUUGGGAAUGCUACACGUCUGGAACAGUUGUAAUAGACGACGCCGUCCCAAUAGUUAUAUAAACAUCAUUGUCCAGCCAUUUUUGAUAACGAUCUGGCACUCCACAUCCAUACUUCUCGAUUGUAUAGCACCUAGAAGGUAUGAGAACGGAUUGUAGAAAACUCUGAUCUUUUCAUUGUCCAAGAAUUUGGAUAGCAUCACCCUUAUAUAUAAUUGACAAAUUAGAGCAAGUUAGUAUAGAAUUGCACAAGAAACAGAGGUUGGCAAGGCAGUUAAUAACUUAUAUUUUUGUUAACAACCAGGAACCAUGUCUCAUGAUUUCUUAUAUGUGGUGUCCAUAUACGCAAGAUACAAACCUAAAUAUGAUAAAAACAUUAUACUUUUGUUGUCACAUAAGCAAUGGUUGUUAACAAUAUAAAUUUCUUAUGAGGAGACACUUAAUCAUAUACCUGUAGUGGUGUUCCUGGAGACAUGUCUGGUGUUAUAAUAAAAAAGGAAGUAAAUUAUGAUUUUUGAAUGUACUAAUAAAUAUAAUGUUUUAUAGAAUAGUGAAGUGAAUAAAAUAAACAUAAAUGCGUUACAUUGUUCUAUAUAAUUGUAAAAGGUAAAUAUGUAUUUGACCACUCAGUUAUUAAGAUUAUGUAUAAAGUCUUAGAAAACAACGUUUUUUGUUUUGUUUUUCUGGUAUUGUCAUCAGAAUGUAUGAGUAUUUUAACUGACUUUGGAGAUGUAGCACGAGAUAAGGCAACAUAAAGAUGCCCAUGUGUGAAAACUGAUUUUGGAUAAAUGCCUAUUUUUUUAAAGAAUGGCCUUGGCUUUUAUUAAUAGUCAUAGCGUAACAAACUUUAACUGGAAAUUGUUUCCUAAUGAAGGUAGAAGGUAUGUCAGGAGCUUUAUGUAUGAAUCUAAUACGAGGCAGAAAUACAAUUUUGCCAAUAUAAGUCCCGGUUAUAAUUGUUGCCUCUAUGACGUUUGCCAGUAACUAUGAAACCAUCAACCGUGUUCCAUUGCAUAAACCUUCCUUUUGGUUUAUGUUCCGAAUCAACAUGAUGGGUGUGUUAAUUUUCACUGAUAGUGAAUGUGUGGGUAUGCUAGGGAAGGUCAAGAUAUUAAGAUAUUCCAAUGGAUAGAAAAUAUUAAAGUCUGUAGUUUGGUUGUCAUUAAAGUUGAUACUAUCAACACUUUCAUACAUCUUUGAAUGCCCAGGACUUUUCUGUAGAACUAUGUCAUUUUUUUUUGGAUAGUUUCAUUUUUGGGACAGACAAUUGCUCUACCAGAUAAUACAACAGCAGAAGGUUUUGUUAGAAUACCAUCUCCAUAUACAAAGUUUAUAAGGGUCUAACUCAUUUUCUGGUGGAGGUAUAAUGAAUGAAUGAGGAAUUUCAACCCAUCUAGUAUUUGUUUUAUCAAAUGCAUCAAUUUCACCAAUAACCCCAUCACCAAUUGUUAGUAACCAAGAUGCAAACUCUGAGACACUUAAGUCAGUGUGCAGUGAGUUGGAGAAGUUCUUAAGUCGCAUAUUAUCAUUUAGUUUAUACAACCUGAAAUAUGGCCAUAUGAUUUAGGUAAGGUGGGGGAGAUAAGUUUAAAGGUUGUACUUCUUGGAGACAUAGGUAAUGUUUGAUGAAAGUCUCUUCCUAAUAAUAGUGACAUACCACCAAAAACUUUCGUCUCACAUUCGAGAAUAUCUUUUAAGGAGCCGUCUAGACAUUCAAAGCAACGUCUGUCACUCAUUGGUGCUUCGUCCCAUAUAAUAAUGGAAGUUUGUUUUAGUAGCUCAGCAAGCAUUGUCUUUUUUUGUAAUGUUGCAUGCAACAUUAUCUGAAAAUUCAAUCGGAAUAUUGAAUCUAGAGUGAGCAGUUCUCCCUGAUGGAAGGAGCAGGGACGUUAUACGCCUAUACCCGAAGUAGCAAUGACAUGCUCUAUUUUCCCUAUGGAACGGAAAUGAGCAAGUAAAGUAGUCCACAGGAAAGUUUUGCCAGUUCCUCCAUGCUCAUAAAUGAACAUGAGCACCUGCUGCCCUUUCUCUUAUGCGGAUUGAACUGUCUUAUAGAUGUCAAGUUGUUCAUGGUUCAAGAUGACAACAUUUAUUCAUGAGUGAGAGUCAAAAUGUCCUUAUCAUAUGUUGUUUCUUCUAAAAGAAGAUGAUUUUUUUAACAUCACCAUUGUUUCCUCCAUGGGUUUAGGUAGGUGAAAGUCAACAACAAAUCUUGAAGGUGUAGAUGAUUUAAGUAUAUGAUCCAGCUCAAAUAAAACCAUAUGUUGUACAUGGAAAUCAUUUAUAUUUAAAUCAAGAGUAGGAUUGGACAUCUUAAUGGUAUACGUCAAAUCUUUACUCAUUUUCUUCCAUCCUAUAUACCAUAAACACAUAGGAUUGUUAACAUCACAUAAAAGAAGCAAAUAGCAGAAUAGAGAGCACAACUGAGACGACGUUGCCCGAAGCUUGAAUAAAAGCAUCCAUCAACUCUCUGUCAUCCCCUAUUAGACCUAGCGCGUCACAAGCACCACGGAAAUCAGGAUAUACAGUGUUGGAAACGGUACGCAAUUCUUCAUAAGACUUACAACCUUCUUGAUGAGAAAGUAACAUCCUUAAGUAAAAUAAUUCUCUAUCUAGCAGAUGGAUGCACAAAGAUAAGUCUGCCUAGUGCAUGGGAAGUGGAGCGUUUUCUUCUUUUCCAAGCUCUUACCUCUUUGUCCCACUAAUAUUUGGUAGGGGAGGAAGUAUACGUAAGAUCAUGACCAGAUGCAUCCCACUUAUUAUUGUCAAACCAACCUAGUAACAGACUACUACCAAAAGUGGGAUGUUCAACAACCUGCUUAAUACGAGUGUUCUCUUUGAUGAAGACAGACUGCAUAUUUGGCAAAUGUACAGGCAAUAUCACAACAGGUAGAUCUCGCUCAUGAAUAGGGUAAUAAAGUAUAUGCCACGCAGCCUCCUGAGGACAUAGGAAACGACCAUCAAUGUAAUUUUUUAUCUCAUCAACUAUGAUACCUUCCGCAGAAGUAGAAGCUUCAGAAAGUUGCACAUCUUUCUGAAUUACAAACCUAGCACGUUCCAUUCCCUUUAAUAAAUACUUAAUCAUCAUGUUCCACCCACAAUAUUCAACAAUGAUAUGUGCAUUGAAACGACAACACAACCUUUUGUUAUACGGGACUAUGUACCUGUUAUCUAUUUGCACACUAUUUUGUAACAUAUGUAACGCAACCAAAUCUCUUUUAUGAUGAGCUUAUCCAUCCUUGUCAAAAAAUGUAGUAGUGCGAAAGUGUUUUGGGAAUUUUUUUACACAUACCAUCCUUUAUACAUGGAGCCUUAGUAUUGGCCAAACCACAUGGUCCAUGUAUAAGACAUCUUGUAACAGUCUCAUCUAACAAUGUCUCACAAACAGGGUCUGACAAUUCAGCGGUAAUAUAAGCAUCAAUGAAAGACAGGUCCUUUAUCUUAUGAGGAUCUGCUAUCCAUAUCAGCAAAUGACAAUGUGGCAAACCCCCCUUUUUUGGAACUCAAUAGUAUAUAAAUCUGCAACAAACCCAAAACAAAAAAAAUAAAGAAACCAGAGAAACGUACGAUCAAAUAAAUCUAAAUAAAAUUAAUUAAAGUUUUUUAAUUUGCAGCGACAGCAACUUACAUGCUGAUACUAGGCUAAAAGUUUUAUCACAUUUCAAGUAUGCAAUAAAGGCAUCAACUUUCAUCCGAAAAAAAACAUGAAAUUAUAUCAACCCUGCUGCCCACAUCAGUCUGUCGACGAACAGCCAUGUAGCAGGUGAUUUCUGGCCAACCAACAUUACAUGUAAAGGUUAUAAAAUAUUGUGGAUUCCCAUACUCGCAACAAAUAGAAAGAGCAUCCUGAUAGUGGUUAUACAUAUAUCGUGGACCACCAACAAAAGAUGGAGGCAAAAGUACACGCUUACCAAUACAUCGAAUUUCAGUAUCACCCAGUGAUAUGGCAUCGUAAAUACCACUAACAUACGCUGAUCUUAGUUGAUUUUGAUUAUGUUCAAAGAAAUCAAGACGAGAAAGUUCGAUACAGGCAUACGCAUCAACUAAAUAUUGUUGGAACAACCUACACGAAUUCAAGAGAAGGGAGUAUACACCAUUUCUUGUGUGUAUGUGGUAACUGUAAUACAUGUUAAUAGUGAGAUUCCUAGUCUUCGAACCAAUUUCAUUUAUUAGCUUCAAACGCGAAGACCAACCGUCCUCGGCGCUGGAACCGACUCCUAUCAAACUCCGACGCAUAACAACCUUCCUUAAUUACCAUUUCAUAGUCAUAACCUUUUCAAGGGUCAACUCAGGUCAAAGUCAAGGUCAAGGUCAACACCUUGGUCAAAGUCAACUUUUGGUCAAAGUCAACAUCUAGUUGACUCAACUCGCUGAGUUGGUCCACCAACUCGUCGAGUUCCAUAAUCCACCAAAAUCUUGGAACUUCAAUCCUACUCGUCGAGUUCUCCUUCAUACAGAAUCAAGACCUUUUUGCUCUUGACUCGCCUAGCUCGUCCAUGAACUCGUCGUGUCUUUCUCCAUACAAGUUGAAGCGUUUAGUCCUUGACUCGCCGAGUUCUUCCUUGAACUCGUCGAGUUCUUCUUCAUAUAAGUUGGGGGCAUUGCCUUGAACUCGUCAAAUUCUUUUGAUCUUCAAGUCCAUAUCUACGUCCAUCUUGUUGAGUCCUCUUCUAGACUCAACCAAAUCGAUCAGAACAGAAAAGGUUGGGGGAACCAUAACCCGAAUCGCCAAGUCCUAAGAGCGACUCGCCGAGUCCCCCAAAGUCUAAGUCUACCAAGUCGAUUUCAGUCGGGCUUAAUGCAUCCAUAACAUAGAUCUGACCUCCUAGGGUCGAUAUUGCACAUAAAGUUACAAACUUUACGUGCAUGCAAGGUGUUAUGAGCUAAGAACAUCAUUUCCAUGUCUAAAAUGAAGUCUAGGCCAAAGGGAAGGGCUAAAGCAUGAUAAUUUCAUAAACUUUAUGGCUAAAGGGGCUGAAAGGGAUCUGGAUCUGAAGUUACAACUUCAGAUUACACUCCAUACUAAAAAAGGUUCACAAAAUUGCUAAAAGAUAGCCCUAAACUCAAAUAUAGAGAGAUCUAGCAACAGAGAAGUCAAGGAAGCAACUUUAUACCUUAAAGGGAUUGGAAAUGGAGCUCAAACCCUGGAUCUACUACUUCCCUGAACCUUCUAGCUCUUUCUUCUUCCUCCUCUAGCUUCAAGAUCACACAAAUACUCUCAAAAAUGACUCACACACUAGGAAAAGCUCAAGGGUCACGUUAGUGUUUUUUGGACUAAGGGAGACGACAGGGGUUGCAUGGGAGGCUGGUUAAUGUAUUUAAAUAGGGUGCAAACCCUAAAAUUUAGGGUUUCAUCCAGACAAGUCUACUCGUUGAGUCGGGGCUUCCGACUCGGCGAGUAGACUCUUCCACUCGCGUCUAAUCCUUCGCAUCUACUCGACGCUUUUGGCCUCCAACUCGUCGAGUCCCUGUAUAAAUGUGAAAAAGCUUUUAAUAAAAAUACGUACCGGGAAUCGGACGUUACACUACGUUAAAUUAAGAAGCAGUACACAACAUACCUAGAAAAGAAACAGAGACAGGGAUGGAGAAUAAAAACGCAGCAACGGAAGAGGAAGGAAGAGUAAAAAAGAAAGAAGGAAGAAAUAAAGAAAAGUGAAGAAAAUUGUAUUGGAAGAGGAGGCCGGCAAGGCGACAACGAAAACAGAUAAGAAGUAAAAGAAGAAUGAGAAGUAUUGGGGCGUUUGAAUGAGAAGAAGAACUUCAGUAACAAAAGAUGAAAGAGAAAAAAAUACACUGCAGCUAAGGUUUUUAGGAAUUUAUAGUAUAUACUAAUUAAAGCUUCACACUAUUUUUUUUUUUUCUUUUCUGUUACAACAUUUUUACUUUCAAUGUUUUUUUAUCAAGACCUUUUAUUUAAAAUACUUUACAUCUUUUACUUAUAUAGGUAUUUAACUAUCUAUUAUAGCAGUAUACCUUCGGUUUUUUUAUUUAAACACAUUUCCCUUUGAAAAAUCAUUUCAAUUAAAGCACAUUUUUAAAGGUUUUUUUCUAUCACUACAUUUUUAUUUUCAAAUAUUCUUUUAUUAAGACAUUUUAUUAAAAAAACUUCAAAAUUUUUACAUACCAUGCAUUUUACUUUGUAAUAGUUAUCAAUUAUAGCAUUGUAUUCUCAAUUUUCUUAUUAAAAGCACAUUUUCAUUUUAAAAAUCAUAGCAAUUAAAGCUUUGCACUAUUUUUUUGUGUUACAACAUUUUAGUUUCAAAUAGUCUUUUAACAAGACAUUUUAUUGAAAAAUCUUUACAUUCGUUUACUUAUUUAGGCAGUUUACCAUGAAAUUUACUAACUAAAGCAUAUUGCACUUUCUUAGAUUUUUUCUUUUAUUACAACAUUUUUACUUAUAUAGGUAUAUUACUUUAAAAUUUUAUCAAUUGUAGUAUUGUACUUUCAAUUUUCUUAUUAAAAGCAAUUUUUUCCUUUGAAAAAUAAUUCAUUUCACUAUUUUAGAUUUUUUUUCUUUCAAAUAUUGUUUUAUCAAGACACUUAUUAAAAAGUUGUAACAGUGUAGGUCUGAUUUAGUAGAUAACAAAAUGGAAUUGAAUUGCUUGGAAUGGAAUGAUUGAAUUAGAAAAGGAAUCCUCAAAUAUGGAUUAGAUAUGAAUAUAAAAAGGGAGUUAACGGGUUAAGGGGUGUUUAGGUCUUUUCCCUUGUUAUGUUAGUUAUUAGGUUAGUAUAAUUAAGAGGUAUUGGAAUUUAGUUAGUAUCGAUUGCUUGAUUGUUAGAAGUAAGUUCUUCUUUGGGUUAAGGGGUCUUUUAGGUCUUUUAUAUGCAUAUCUAAUCCAUAUCUCAGAAUUCCUUGUCUAAUUCAAUCAUUCCAUUCAAUUCCAAGCAAUUCAAUUCCAUUCUGUUAUCUACUAAAUCAGACCUAAACUAUUAUAAAAAUCUCUACAUUUUUUACUUGUUUAGGCAUUUUACUUUGAAAAUCUUAGCAAAUAUAACAUUGUACUUUAUGUAUUCUUAUUAAAGCAUUGCAUUUUAAGUUUUCUUUUUUAAAAGCACAUUAUCGUUUGAAAAUCAUCCCAACUAAAGCAUUGCAUUUUUUUCCCAUAUUGCAACGAUUUUACUUUCAAAUAAUCUUUUAUCAAGACAUUUUACAAUACAAUUUUACUUAUCUAGGCCUUUUACUUUUGAAAAUUUAUCAAUUAUGACAUUGUACUUCCACUUUUCUCAUUAAAAUCAUAUUUCUUUUUAAAAAAUCAUCCAACCAAAACAGUUUUUUUUUUUUUUUUUUUUUUUUUUUUUUACAANUUUUUUUUUUUUUCGUAUUACAACAUUUUGACUUUCAAAUACUCUUUUAUCAAGACAUUCUUUACAAAAACUUAUACAUUUUUUACUUAUUUAGGCAUUUUACUCUGAAAACUUUACCAAUUAUAGCAUUGUACUUUUAAUUUUUUUUAUUGAAUGCAAAUUUCUUUUGAAAAAUCAUCCCAAUUAAAGCAUUACAUUUUUCUAGUUUUUUUUUCCGUAUUACAACAUAUUUGCUUUCAAAUAAUAUUUUAUCAAGACAUUUUUUACAAAAAAAUUUACAUUUUUUACUUAUCUAGGCAUUUCCCUUAUAAAAAUACAUUAUACACAUAUAUUAAAUCCCCUCACACUUAGGGAGGAGGGAGUCCUUCCCUCUCAACCCACUGCCACAUCAGCUUUUUUUUAUUCUCUCGCUUCAAUCUUUGCCAACCCACAACACAUGGAAAUCCUAUCUUUUCCAACCCACUCAACCUACUUUCCACAUCAUUUAAUUAAAUUAAAAAAGAUAAAAUAAAAUAAAAUAUAGCAUUUUUUAUUUAAAAAUAAAUAUUUGCUAAUUUAAAACAAAAAAAUCUAAAAUAAUAUUAAAAAUAACAUUAAUUAAAAAAACACACUACAAAUAGAAAAAAAUACACGAAAAUUAAAAAAACACUUCAAAAAUACAAAAUAAUUAAGAUCCUAAAACGAUAAUUAAAAUUAACUAGUUAUCUAAAGUUGAAAUAUAGACAUGUUAAUCGAAGCUGGUGGUGGGUUUCAUCAUUGCGCAAUUCAUGUAUGAUUUCUAGGUCUUCGACUUCGUCAUUGGGGGGNNNNNNNNNUGAUGCACAGGAGAUAUCGCAGCACCCUCAUCUUUCAGUAUCAUAUUGUGCAGUAUAAUACAAACAUACAUUAUGUUUUUCGUUUUCUUCACCGUCAUAGCCCGUGCCGACAUCUUUAAUAUGUCCCAACAUCCUUUAAGGACCCCAAACGUACGUUCUACGUCCUUUCUUGCUGAUUCUUGUGCCGCCUUGAACCGUUUCUUUUUGUUCGUUAUUGCAUGUGGAUAUGACUUCACGAAUACAACCCAUGUUGGAUAUAUUCCAUCGGCAAGAUAGUAACCAUGCUUGUAGUGUUCACCAUUCAGAUCAAAUGAGCAAUCAGGUCCUGUUCCAUGAUAUUUCUCAUCAAACAAUGGUGAUUGGUAGAGGACGUUCAAAUCAUUGUUCGAACCAGCUACACCAUAGAAUGCAUGCCAAAACCAUAAAUCUUGUGAUGUCACUGCUUCUAGUAUCAUUGUUGGAUACUGAUGGUCACCCCUCAUGUAUUGGCCUCUCAGUUCUGUUAGACAAUUCCUCCAAUUCCAAUGUGUGCAGUCAAUGCUACCAAGCAUUCCAGGGAAUCCAUGUCUAGCUUCAUGUGCUUCAUACAAUUUUUGAAUGUCAGUGGAUGUUGGACGGCGUAAAUAUUCAGCCUUAUACAUUUGGACAAUACCAUAGCAAAAGUUUUCUAGAGCUUCACGAGAAGUUCUUUCUGACAUAUUUAGAUACUCAUCUAAUGAGUCUGGGUUAUAACCCUUCGCUAAUUGACGUAUUGUUGAGGUGCAUUUUUGUAGCCCACUGAAACUUCUCUGAUUUGUUGCAUCCCAUGUUGUUUGAAAAUAUGGAUAAUUCAUCUCUAGGUCACCAACAAGUUGCAUAAACAAACCUUUGCUCAUACGGAACCUUCUGCGGAAUAGAUCAUGACCAUAUGUUGAAUCAUCUGCAAAGUAAUGUCGGAUCAGUAGCUGUUCAGCCUCUAAACGAUCUCUUUGGAUUGUGUUUCUCCUUUGAUUGUUACUUGAGCUAACAUUAUUCUGGAGAAGAAGUUGUGCAGUACGAGAUAAUGCAGGUAACAAAUUAUUGUUGAUAAGUUCAUCCUCGGAAGAUGAACUAUCGUUGUUACUAUCCAUGAACUAUCGUUGUUACCAUCCAUUACUAUUUUGCGAACGUUUGGAUUCAUUUUGAAAGAGAGAGAAACGAUAGAGAGAAAAUGAAACAAACAUAUAUAAAGAGAUAAUGAAACAAACAUUCAUAUAUAUAUAUAUAUAUAUAUAUNAGAGAAAAUGAAACAAACAUAUAUAGAGAGAUAAUGAAACAAACAUUCAUAUAUAUAUAUAGUGAAACAAGAGAAUCUUAAUAAAAAGAAAAAAGAAAAAGUAAAAGAAAAAGAAAAAUAAUCAUAAAAAAGAAAAAGAUUCUCAGUCAAAUGAUGUCGACACUCUGAACUUCACGGGUUCUACAACUCCCAACCAUAUUUAGUUGCAAUUUGUCGUUUCCUUUCAAGAACCGUGCUCAAAAUAGCUCCAGUCAAAUGAUCAUGCGGUCGUAGAAAAUACUCCAUAUCUUGGUUCUCUAUCUCUCGCUCCAACAAUUGAGCUUUCAGUGCUUCAUUAGCUUCUAAAAUACGUAAUUUUUGUUCCCGGUACCGUUGUCUCUGUUUCGCCUCUAUGUUGGUUGUAGUGUUGAUGCUGGCAAUAUGGUUGACAAGAUCAAACAUUUCAUUUUGUGUUGACGAUACUGAUGCCACUUUUUUUCCUUUUCUUUUUCUCUGAGGUGGUGAGUCUUCAACAUUAAAAGGUUGUUGUUGUUGGGGGAAUCUGGGAGGAUACUGUGCAUCGGAAGAUGUUGUAUGGGCGUUAGAUGAAGAUGUUUUAGUUCGUUUUUAAAAAGGAGGCGAGGAGUCUUCACCAGCUUUUGUAACCAACGCCCAUUUCUCGUGGUCUUUCAACCACUCCCAAGCUUUUUGAUGAGGAAAGGAUUUUUGAUUAACAGUACUCCGAUACUCGCUUAGUGAGGCUUUUAAAACAUCAGCCUCAGAUCUCCCACUAGCCACACUGUUCAUCCUACGGUUAUAGAUGCAGUUGAAAGUGUUACAUUUCUUUUGCAGGUCUUUCCAUUUUGAGUUUACUUGGUGUCGUGUCUGAUCUGAACCUCCAAUCUGAACAUUAAAAUGCUCUAGAACCCGAUCCCAAAAUGCAUCAAAUUGUUGUUGGUUUCCACGCUGUUUAUCUUGAGAACAAUCGACAUAUGCCCUAGCUAAAGCCAACUCUUCACGUUCCACCCAUUUCUUUGACUUCUGAUGGUUUGUAAAGGUGCGUUUUUUCUCAACAACAGGUCGCAACUCCUCACUAGUUUCUUCUUCAUUUCUUUCGGGAACCGGAUCGUCACUAGAACUAUCAGAUUCUACGUUCUGAGAAUCACGGAACUGGAAAUGCUCGGUUGGGAAGAUUGGAAUUGAGUUUCUGGAACCCUUUGGGAAAACUGAUUACAUGGAUUAUAACUCAUAUUUUCCUCUGAAAGCGUAAAUGUGUUGUAAGAUUGUUGCACCGGGUAAUAUUGUUGUGGAUAGUUUUGGUUUUGUUGGUAAAUUUGGUAUUGUUGAUAGUUUGGAUUUGGGUUAUGAAAGGUUGGAGAAGAAAAUGGAAUAUUUUGACUUGAACCGUCUUGCGUGGAUUUGCGUCUUUAGUUAGAACCGGUUUGUUUACUUUUGCCUCGGGAAUCCAUUGAAGGUUACUAGAGAAAUUGAACCAACUUGUAAAAUAUUUCCAGACAAAUCACACUACAAAUAACACUACAAAUAAGUAAAUUUUGCAUUCAUCGUAAACUUAUAAAAAGAAAGCAAAAAAGUAGAUAAAUAAAUAAAAUAAAUACUCAUGGGUGGUUGGUGAAUAUUGUUCAAAAAUACUUACAUGCAAUAAAAGUAAAUUAAAGUUUGGCAGGAAUCUUUGCAUACAGUGAUUGAUUGCAUGCAUGCAUGAAUAGUCAAAGAAAAAUUGAAUGGUCAAGGAAAUUGAAUGCAUUAACUCACGGGUUGGUGAACCUUAUAGAAACAAACAACUCAUCCAACCCGCUAAACCCAAUUAAAAGGAAGUUGUUUGCCGGCGGUACCGGGAUACGCCCUGACCCAUUUCUAAAUUUUGAAACGACUCCUUAUGGCCUUAGGAACAAUGUCUUUUCUAUGAUUCUCAUUUUGACCACACAAUUUUGUUUUUUCUCAAUUUCACCCUGGCACUUAAAUACGUGACACGCAUCACUAUUAAACCGAUUAUCAUUCCCCUUUGCCUUCGUCUUUCCCUUAAUUUCUGAUUUCUUCUUCGUCUUUUCUUUGCUUCCAAGAACUUUGUGGUUUGUCGAUGCAGUGAUUUUUGAGGUUUCGCAACGACGCGGACGCACCCAACCAUCGGUUUCAAGCAAGUAUCUAUUUUAAUUUGGGAGUUGGGUAUGUUAUCUAUGUUCUGAACGUGGUCAUACCUGUUUUUUUAUGCUUAGAAGCAAUUCUCUGUUUCGAUUUUGGGUUAGUUGUUUUUUUUUUUUUCAAAUUUUGGUCUCGGGCUCCACCGUCAAUCACUUUGGGUUAGGGUUGGGUUUACUUUCACUAUUUAUGAAUUGUCUAAUUUUGGUCUCGGAUACGUAGUAUCACUGUUACAAAUUGGAUCAAUUGUUCAUCUUAGGAUAGCAAUCUUGAUACAGCUAUUCCUUCUAUAAAGGUGACGAUCCUUCUAUUUCAGAUUAGCACUUAAAAUCUGAAGGUAAGAUGUAGAGGUUAAGGUAUAGAAGAUGGGUGAAUUUCAGAGAUCUAUUGUUUGUAGAAUUGCUUCCUUAAGUAUCUGUUGUUUCGUUUCUUUCUUGUCUGUUGGUGUGUUCCAUAUUUUUGUUUAUUAUGAUGAUGUUUUUCUGUGCUUUGCAGGUUACAUAGUGCAUCUGUGUGGUUUUUGUUGUCAAUCUGCUUACUCUGGUAUGUCUCCUAUACCGUGUUUCUGCUGUUAAUGGUAUUUAUUGUGGUAAAUGUAAGCAAAAUGAAAUGAUUCAAAUCCAGUGAUGUUGUAAUUCAUACCCUCUCCUUUUUGGUUUGUCUGUGCAGGCUUUACUAACAUCCCAUGGUUUUGGUUACAAAUUGUAAAAAAAAAAAAAACAAAAAAAGUCCAUCAAUUGUUAAAGGUAGGAGUUGAGACUCCAUAAUUAAUGAACAAAGUUUGUUUCCUUCCACUUCCAAUAUGCACACAUUCAAUUAUAUUGUUAUCUUCUUUUAUUCAAAAUUACAUUUACAAAUGUGUUGUAUGAUUUCUUAGGUUUGCAUAUUGUUUAUAGGAGGGGACUCUAGGUCAUUUUGUAUUUAUAUGUUUACAGAAAGUUAUUUAGCUAAAAUAAUCUGAUGCAUGAGUGUGCUUUUUUUUUUUAACCAAUUAGCUUGCUUAUUGACAUAUUUUACUUGAGGGGUAUUUUUGUCAAUUACCAUUCUUUUACCGAAUUUGUUUGACUUUUGACCAACAGGGAAAGAAUGAAAGUUUUCUGUCUACUCAUGGAACUGAAACUCAAAGUUUAGCUACAUAAUAGGAACAUAUGUAAUUAUAAUGGAUCGUGUGUGUAUGCACGUCAAAAAUUAAAAAAAAAAAAAAAAGAUCCGUGGUUCACCACGGUUUCACUUACUAGUUCCAAUUAAAGCUUCAAACUUUUUUAGUUUUUCUUUUUCUUUUACAACAAUGUUACUUUUUGAAAUAUUAUUUUAUCAAGGCUUUUUUAUAUUGUUUUCACCUUUUUUUACUUUUCCAUGCAUUUUAUUUUCACAGUUUAACAAUUAUAGCAUUGUACUUCCAGUUUUCUUAUCAAAAGCGUAUUUCUCUUUACAGUUUUUAUUUUCUUUCCUUCUAUAACAUUGUUACUCUCAAAUAUUUUUCAUAUCAAGACAUUUUAAUAAAUAAUCUUUAUAUGUUUUACUUUUUUUUCAUUCUACUUUGAAAAAUUUACCAGUUAUAGCAUUAUACGACCAGUUUUCUUUUAUAAAAGCACAUUCGCUUUGAAAAAACAUACCAAUUAAAGUUUUACACAUUUGUCUGUUUGUUUUUUUCUUUUACAACAUUUUAAUUGUUAAAUAUUCUGUUAUCGAGACAUUUUAUUAAAAUAUCUUUUCAUUUUUUAUUUAUCUAGACAUUCUACUUUGAUAAAUCUACCAAAUAUAGCAUUAUACUUUAAUUAUUCAUAUUAAAAUCACAUUUCCUUAGAAAAAUCACCUCAACAAAGUUUUGCACAUUUUAUUAAAAAUCCUUAAAAUUUUUACAUCAGACAUUUUAUAUACUUAGAAAAUUUUACUAAUUAUAGCCUUGCACUUUUAGUUUUCUUAAUAAAUGCACAUUUUCUCUUUGAAAAUCAUCCCUACCAUAGCUUUCAAUUUUUUGGUUUUUAUUUCCUCUUUUAUAACAUUUUUAAUCUAAAAUAAUCUUUUAUCAAGACAUUUAAAAAAACAAUUGUUUUACAUAUCUAAGCCUUCUACUUUUAGCUAUUUACCAAUUAUAGCAUCGUAACUUAUUUUUGUUAUUAAAAGCACAUUUUCCUCUUCUCUAAUUAUAGCAUUGUACUUUAAGUUAUAUUAUGAAAAGCACAUUUCCAUUUGAAAAAUCAUCCUAAUUAAAACAUUGCACUUUUUAAGAUUUUUUUUUUUACUUUUACCACAUUUUAACUUUCAAAUGUUGUUAUAUUAAGACAUUUUAUUAAAAAAUCUUUACAUUUAUAUACUUAUCUAGGCAUUUUACUUUGAAAAUCUUACCAAUUAUAGCAUUAUACUUUAUGUUUUCUUAUUAAAUGCACAUUUUACUUUGAAAAAUCAUACAAGUUAAAGCUUUGCACUAUCUAGGCAUUUUUUUUGCUAUCAAUGCAUUUUAUUGUAUCAAGUCGCUUUAUUUUGAAAAAUCUAUCCAAUUUUUUUACUUUGAAAAAAUAAUAAUUCUUUUCUCAUCAAGGCAUGUUAUUUUGAACAAACCAUCAAAUUUUUAUGUAUCUAGAGAUUUUAUUUUGAAGAAUCUAGUUUUUUUUUCUUUCAAAGCAUUUACUUUGAAAAAUCUAUCAUUUUAUUUUAUAUCAAACCAUUUUACUUUGGAAAACCUACACAACUAUAGCAUUGUACUUUCAGUUUUCUUUAUAUAAGCACAUUUUCAAAAGUCAACCCAUUUAUAGCAUUGCAUUUUGCAGUUUUCUUUUUGUUCAACAUUAUUAUUUUCAUAUUUUAUUUUAAUAAGUCUAAUUGGUCUAUCGAAUUUUUUCUUAUCAAGACAUUUUUACUUUAUAAAAGUUUAACCUAUUUUUUUGCUCAUCAAAGCACUUUUUUUUUGAAUUAUCCAUCAAAAAAAUCAAGUUUCUUUUUUAUGCUAUGAUAUUAAAAUUUUCAAAUCUCCUAUUUUCAAAUCAAUUUACUUUGAAAGCUAUAUUAUUUUUUUUAAUAAAGGCAUUUUACUCUGAAAAAUCUACCAAGCACAUGUCUCUUUGAAAAAUCAACCCAUUUGCUUUAUUUUAGUUACAACAUUACAAACAUUAUUUUUUUUUUAUCUUAUCAGGUCAUUUUACUUUAAUCUAUCAUAUUUUUUUAUUAUCAAGGCAUUCAUCUUUGAAAAAUCUGACAAAUAUAGUAUUGUAUUUACAAUUUUCUUAUUAUAAGCACAUUUCCUCUUGAAAACUCAACCCAUGUAUAGCACUGCUUUUAUCUUUAUGUUACAACAUUAAAACAUUCAAAUUUUAUCUUAUCAAGUCAUUGUACUUUGAAAAAUCAAUCAUAUUUUUUUUUUUUCAAAUCUAGUCUUUUUACUUUGAAAAAUCUCUCAUUUAGAGCACUGUAUUUUCAUUUUUCUUAUUUUAAGCACAUUUUCCUUGAAAAAUCAACCCCAUUUUAGCAUUGCACUUUCAGUAUGUUUCUUUCUAUUAUAGUUUUCAAAAUUUUCUUAUCAAGGCAUUUAACAUUGAAAAAACAAUCAAAAUCUUUUCUUAUCAAGGCAUUUUACUUUAAAAAAUUCCAUCAAUUUUUUUCUUAUGGAGCCCUUUACCUUGAAAAAUCUAUGAAGUAUUACAUUACAUUGCAUUUUCAGUUGUAUUAUUAUAAGCAUAUUUACCUUUGAAAAAUCAACCCGUUUAUAGCAUUGCACUUUUCAAUUUUCUUUCUAUUAUUGCAUUGUAACUUUCAUGAUUUUUUCUUCAUGUUGCCUUGAAAAAUCUAUCAAUUUUUUUCUAAUAAAGGCAUGUUACUUGAAAAGUCUACCAUAUAUAGGACUACACUAUUCGGUUUUCUUUUUGUUACAACAUGGUAAAUGUCAAAAAAAGUUUACCUACCAAUUAUAACAUUGUUCUUUUAAUUUUCGUAUUAUAAGUUACGAUUUAAAAUUGUAAAAACCACUUGUAAAAUUCCAUUUUUCAGUUUUUUUUCUGCUUCAAAAUUGCAACUUCCAAAAAUUUCUUACCAAGGUCUUUUUUUUUUUUGAAAAAAGUAUCAAAUAUUUUCUUAUGAAAGAAACUUACUUUGAAAAUCAACCCAAUUUUUAGCAUUGUACUUUCAUUUUUGUUAUUAUCAGCACAUCUAUGUUUAUGACAAGUUUUGAAAUGUAUUCUAUUCAUUUCAUUUUAUUAUGUUAAUAUUAAUUAUAUUUAUUUCUUUUUACUAUUUUUUAUAUGAUUUCAUUGGUUUGUUAUUUUUGUAAGAAAUGUAAAAAGCUGUCGGUCCAAAACCAACACCGCAGGUUUAUCACUUUAUUUAAUUUAUUGGUUAAAUUACUGACUAUCAGUUUCUUUUAUUUUGUAAAUUGGUUACUUGUUUUGAUUGAUGUAUUUACCUGCUAUAUAUAAUUAUAUGAUGUGAUUUUAACUGUUGUUAUUUUAUGUUUUAUGCAUAAGUUUUGGCUCUUCUUGCAUUUUGAAUGUUACUGAAGUCAAUAUGUUUUAUAAGUUAAUUAUCUGAUUAUUAAGUUUUAUGUUCAUAAACUCUCUUGUGUCAAGGACAUUAAGUUAUGGUUUUCUUUGUUUUGAAGUAAGCUGUUUGCUUAUUUGAUCUCAGUUUGAGAAUUAUUUUGGUUACAAGUUUUGUUGGUCAUGUAUUAUUACCUACACUUACUUUUUUAUUAAGUAGUUGUGUUAUUUAUUGUUUACUUUUGUUUGUUUAAAUUUCUAGUAGGCACAUGAUUAUCUGUAGUAUGAAUUUAUUUUUAUGUUUUUUCUUCAUUUUAUACUGCUUUUAUAUUAAAAGCCGAUACAACUUUUUGUUGGUCAGACUUGACUUUUCACAACAAAAAAUUAUCCUGUUUACAUGUUUUAAUGUCUAAUCGUGUAAUUGUGGCUUUAUGUGUAGGAGGUUCUACUUUGUUUAUUUCUUGUGUGUUUGUUUGUAGGACCUGCUUCGGAAUUCAUGUAUUAGUUCAGUUUGUAGGCCUUUUCUUUUUCUUGUGUGGCUUUGUAUGUUGAUUUUGCUUUGUUUGUAGAGUUAUUGUGUGGCUUUGUUUAUAGGAUUCUAAUUUGGAAUUCAUGUGUAGGGUUUGGUUUAUAGGGUUCUGUUUUUGAAUUUGUGUUCCUUUUCUCGUGUAGCUUUGUUUGCAGAGUUCUUACAUGCCUUUGUUUUUACAGAUCUUCUAUAUUGUAUUUUAUCGUGUCUAUUUUGUUUGUAGGGUUCUACUAUGUUUGAUUUUGCUUUGCUUUGUUUAUAAGGUUCUAUUUUAUUUGUAGAGAGUUCUGGUGUGGCUUCGUUUGUAGGGUUCUACUUUGUUUGUAGGAUUCUGUUUUGAAAUUCAUGUCUUGGUUCUACUUUUGAAUCCUUUUCCCUUUUCUUGUGUGGCUUUAUUUGUAGGGUUGUGUUUUGUUUGUAGAGUUAUUAUGUGAGUUUUUUUAUAGGAUUUUUCUUUGGAGUUCUUGUCUCGGGUUAUGUUUGUAGGAAUCAACUUUGAUAUUCUUAUCCAUUUCAAUAUUCUUAUGUGGCUUUAUUUCUAGGGUUCUGAUUCUUUAUGUAGAGUUCUUAUUGGUUCUAUUUAGAUGGUUCACCUUUGUUUUUAGACUUCUUGUGUGGCUCUAUUUGUAGGAUUCUUGUCUUAGGUUCUCUUUGUUUCUUUGUAGGGUUAUGUUUCAAAAUUCUUCUCCAUUUUCUCUGUAGAGUUGUUCUUAUGAAUUCUUUGUAUCGGGUUCUAUUUGUGAAGCUUUGGAAUUCCUGUUAAUUUGUGUUUUCUUGUGUGAAAUUUAUAGGGUUAUUUUUUGUUUGUAGAGUACUUGUGUGGCUUUGUUUUAGGGUUCUACUUUCUUGUCUUUAAUUAUGUUUGUAGGGUUCUACUUUGGAAUUCUUAUUCAUUGCAUUUUCUUGUGUGGCUUAGCAGCUUUGUUUGUAGACUUCUUGUAUGACUUUCUUUGAUCUUUGAUUGUAGGGUUCUGCUUGUGAAUUCUUGUCUUGGGUUCUCUAUGUUGGGUUUUGCUUUAGAUUUCUUUAUCCAUUUUGUAUUUUCUUUGUAGGGUUUUUUGCUUUGUUUGUAUAAAUCUUAUGUGGCUUUGUUUCAAGAUUUCUUGUGUAACUUUGUUUGUAGAGUUCUUGUGUCUCUUUGAUUGUAAUCUUUGGAAUUCUUGGGUUAUGUUUGUAGGGUUUAUUAACAUUUAGUCUUCAACAAGGCUAUAACUUCAUGGUUGAAUUAGAUUUGAUCUAAUAACUUUAGGGUUGAAUAAUUUCUUGAAAAGUUUGGUCGUUAGGACCGAGUAACAAAUGGUGAGUCUAGAACUAAAAAAACACAUGGUUCACUAUUUAAGUAAAACCGAUAGAAAAUGAAAAAAAAAAAAAAAAAAUCUAAAAAUACUAGUUGUAUGUCCGGGUCGGAUCAUAUUAACUUGAUAGAAAAUGUAAAGAUAAAAAUAAGAAAGUGUUACUUUUGUUACUAUGCUCUUUUAAUUUCAAUCUCUCUAAUUCACAUAUGAUAAAUUUUCAUAUUUGGUCGUUAUGUCGGAUCAACAAGUAGUGAACUUCAACUAACUCUUAUAUGUUUAUGUAGAUCAUUAUCUUCUUCUACAUUCAUUUUUCAUUCAUUUAAAAAAAAAAACUUGAAUAAAGACAUUUCUAAUUCUAAUUUCUUAAACAAAUGGCAAUUAACAAAUCAACAAUUAACUAACACAAUUCUAAAACUUAGAAGUCAAUGUAAUUAAACAAGUCCAAAGAACCAAUUGCUAAAAUCAUUAGUGUGAACCGUGGAUCAAAGACUUGGAAUUUGAAAGUGAAUUUAAAUAAAGUAUUAAACAAAGACAAAAAAGAUGAAAAAUUAAUUUUUCAAAUUGUCAAAUACAUUAAGAAAAUAGCCCCUUUGAAUCAAAUAACAAAAUCGUCAACCUCGGUGAAUCCGUAAAAAAAUUCAAAUAAAAAAGAACAUUGGAAAUGUUUAAUUGAAUGUAACUAAAAAAGCUACAAAGACCUUAAACCAAAGACAAAAGUAGCACAAUUUUGAAUUGAGAAUUUUACAACUUGCUGGACUGGAGUGUAAGAUUGGUCGGUUGGUGGUGUCGUAGGAAGAAGGCGGGCAGAAGGCCGACGGGAGUCGGUUGGUUGAGGGCACUGAGAACAUUGAGGGCAAUGAUCACAUUAAUAGAGACCUUCGCAACCGUUUAAAUUUUUCAUAAUUCUUUUUUUCUUUUCUGUUUAAUUACAAAUUUUUAAUGGACAACUGUUUUUUGGCUUACAAAUUUUUGGGGAUCCAAUAAACAAUGCCACUUCCAAAACAUACUAACCUUCAUGUAUUGCUAUCCUUUUCUCUAAACAAAAUUAAUGGAAACAAAAGAAUCAAUUAACAGAAUUCUUCUGGUUUUGGUUUAGGAAACCUUCUAUAUCCAAACUUUGCAUCCACAAAACCUAAUUUUGUCGAACUCCAACCACAAUUUCUCCUUCCCUAAUCCUUUCCGCUCUCCAAAUCUCCUGCAAAAAUUUGUUUCUCUUCACACUUGCUUAUUUGUUAACACUAUUUUUUCCCUUCUUGAAACUUUUGUGGUUAGCAUUGAUUUUAUUCUAUGAUAUUAAUGUGUGCGUAAUCUUGGAUUUUGAAUAGAAUUACUCUGGUUUCAGCUAUCACACUUUGAUUUAGUGUGGAAAUCAAUCACCAAGUAUAACUGACGAUUUCAAUUUUGAAUUUGGGGUUUUAAUGUGUGCGUAAACUUAGAUUCUGAGAGAGCGUGUCAUAUUGUUGUGAUUUAGGGGGUGUUUGGCUUAACUUUUCACAGCCAAAAGUUCUUUUUGGAAAAGAAAAAAAAGCAAAAGAUGUUUGGCAAACUAGUUUUAAAAGUUACUUUUGAAGUUUUUACAUAAGAAAAGGAACUUUUUGGAAAAGUCAGGAAACUUUUUAUAACUUUUCCAAAAAUGACUUUUGGGGUUUGAAAAGCUAAGCCAAACACCCCCUUAGAAUUCAUUGCAGAAGAAGGCUUAUUAGGUAUACAUUUCUUCAUUUCCUUCUACUUGUCUUCUCUUUUUAGCAAUUAGGAUAGGAAAGGAUUGUAAAAGAAUGAUUCAAUAUUAAAAUUAAUAAAGGGUAGAUUUGAGAGAAUUUAAAAAAAAAAAAAAAAAAAAGUUUGUUGAAACGCUAGUCUAGUCUAAGUAGCUUUUUUAAAAAUCUAGCAUAAAAGUUCUAUCUUUUUGGCUUGCCAAACAUGACAGCCUAAAAAAACUUGAAAAAUAAGCUAACUGCGACAUGACAAACAUAGUCAUAGACUCGCUAUUCAUCUAUUGUUUAUGCAAAAGAUGUUAAUGUCAUUUCCAUUCUUAUCAUUGAAAAUAGACAUAGAAAGCUUGUGUAGUUGAGUCAUGUUCCUUGUAACAAGGGACAAUGUUUGGUAAUGAUAUUUGACUUGUAUACACCUUAACAGACCAUUAAGGUUUGCUCAUUUCUUCAUAUUGAUUUCUCCUUGUCGAUUAUGGAAAAUUUGCUUUUACAAGAAUGAGACAUCGUGCGAGUAAAGAAUAUGACCAUUACAAAGGGUACAUGUGUCAAAUUGUAACCACACACAUUCGACUUUCUCAACAUUUCCAACCCAAAAUCAAUGUAAGUCAACAAGACAUAUAUUAAAAGACCAAUGUAUUCUCAUUAUAUAUAAUGAGCAGAAUUAAAAAAAAUAAUAAUAAUAAAAUAAAAAAAAAAGAUUUUUCAAGUCAUUUACGUUGAACUUUUCAGUUUUCUUUUUAAUAUCAAAACAUUCCAAGUCCAUUUUCAUGUUACAUCAAGUGCUCCAGUAGUUCCAACGAGGGAGGAUUAGUUUUGUUUAUUGAAAGGAUUGUCGAAUGUAGAGUUGGCAUGUUAGCAGGUUUUGUCCCUAGACAUAUGUAGGUCGGAAAAUGUGGUCUCCCCACAAAUAAAUAAAUCCAUUGUUCUAUAAAACUGAACACUAUUCCUCUCCUCAAAUUUAAUAUAACAUGAUGACGGAUUAAUUGCUUUGAUAAAUCUAACAACAUGACGGAAUUAAUAAAAAUUAAAGGAAGAUUAUACCUGAAUGAUGCGUUGGAUUAUAUUGAUGAUGGAUUGUGUUGAAUGAUUAGAUGAUUAUAUGGAUAGUUUGGAUAGAACUCUGCUAUUCAAAAAUAGAACAACUAUUUCAACAGAGAAGACAAUUGAGAUCAACUCAAGUCUUAAACACUCAAACUUAGCUUGUUUAUUUCAUUUGGGCAAAGGCCCUAUUUAUAGGCUCAAGAGAGCCGGUUACAAUUACUGUUGCAAUCGUUUGAUUGCAAUAUGACACAUAUAUAUUUACAUUAUAGCCUCCUAGACUAUUGAGGGUUAUACACUUUAUGUUACAUCAACCUACACUUAAUAAUUAUUCUACCGACACUUAUUUAAUUACAUAACAAUCCUUCUACCGACACUUUACAUAAUGAAAAAUAUAAUAAUCCCUUUCAUGAAAGGACAGGUGUCUNAACUUCCGCGGGGACCGGGCAAUUUGUAGUUAAUAAUAGUUAGAAAUGUCAAAAAUAAAUGAAAGAUAAAUUGAAGAAGACAUUAUAGUCAUUUUACACAGUUUUGAAAAUCGGAUUAUUGAGUUCGCCUGGACUACGCUGGCUUUGGGAUGCCAGGCUUGAUGCUUCAAGAAAGUUCCAAACCAAUCUCUGGCACUUGGUAAAGAUUUGUGAUUUCCGGGUGAUGACAAGUAACUCGUGAAGGUCUAUAGUCAACUACGGCUAUUGAGCGUCGAGACCAAGAAUUUGAAGAAAGAUCUCUGCUUAGGCUUAAAAUCUCUCUACCUCUCAAAGUCACCACUCCGUCCAAGUGUGGAGGUCAGAAUCCCAUCCUAUCCACCCGGGCCGUCGUCACCACCUUCUUUUGUCCGAUCCUUCUCCUCUUGAAAGGAUGAAGCGGACACAUUUAUAAUAACAAAGAAUGAAGCAUGCAACUCAUUACUUAAUUAUAUCUAACAAUAAACAAAUCAUAUUUAUCUUAUUUGGUAGUAUUCGUCGAUCGUUCUUGUAUCUAUUUGUAUCCACA